rnacentral:rRNA from 1 species
UAGUCCACGCCGUAAACGUUGUGUACUAGGUGUUAGUGCUUUAAGCACUAGUGCCGUAGCUAACGCAUUAAGUACACCGCCUGGGGAGUACGCUCGCAAGAGUGAAACUCAAAGAAAUUGACGGGGGCCCGCACAAGCGGUGGAGCAUGUGGUUUAAUUCGAUGAUACGCGAAGAACCUUACCUGGGCUUGAACUGUGCAUGACCGGUGUAGAGAUACACCUUUCUUCGGACAUGUACAGAGGUGCUGCAUGGUUGUCGUCAGCUCGUGUCGUGAGAUGUUGGGUUAAGUCCCGCAACGAGCGCAACCCUUACUCUCUGUUGCUACCAGGUAAUGCUGGGCACUCUGAGGGAACUGCCCGGUGACAAGCCGGAGGAAGGUGGGGAUGACGUCAAAUCAGCACGACCCUUAUGUCCAGGGCUACACACGUGCUACAAUGGCCGGUACAAUGAGCCGCGAUGCCGCGAGGUGGAGCAAAUCUCAAAAACCGGUCUCG